AGCUCCAAUAGCGUAUAUUAAAGUUGUUGCAGUUAAAGCGUCCGUAGUUGAGUUUCGAAAGACAAAAACAUACACAUCGUUUUAAAAACACGUGGAAUUUUUGGAUUUCUUUGCAUGGAUUUAUCUGUGUAGCUGUUACUUUGAGUAAAUUGGGGUGCUCCAAGCAGGCUGAUGUCUGAACUACUCAGCAUAGAAUAACAACAUAGGACUCUAAUUCUAUUGUUGGAUUCUGGAAUUGUGAGUAAUAGCAGAUAAGGACAUUCGGGGCCAUUUGUACUUGUUGGAGAGAGGUGAAAUUCUAAGACCCAACAAAGACAAACAAAUGCUAAAGCAUUUGGCCAGUGUGUACCUG
rnacentral:rRNA from 1 species